rnacentral:rRNA from 1 species
AUUGAACGCUGGCGGCGGGCCUAAUACAUGCAAGUCGAACGAAUGGCGGACGGGUGAGGAAUGUCUGGGAAACUGGCCGAUGGAGGGGGAUAACUAACGGAAACGGUAGCCAAUACCCCCUAGCAUUGGAUGGGCCCAGAUGGGAUUAGCUAGUAGGUGGGGUAACGGCUCACCUAGGCGACGAUCCCUAGCUGGUCUGAGGGGAUGACCAGCCACACUGGAACUGAGACACGGUCCAGACUCCUACGGGAGGCAGCAGUGGGGAAUAUUGCACAAUGGGCGCAAGCCUGAUGCAGCCAUGCCGCGUGUAUGAAGAAGGCCUUCGGGUUGUAAAGUACUUUCAGCGAGGAGGCGUUACUCGCAGAAGAAGCACCGGCUAACUCCGUGCCAGCAGCCGCGGUAAUAC